rnacentral:tRNA from 1 species
GCCUGGGUGGCUCAGUUGGUUGAGCAUCUGACUUCAACUCAGGCCAUGAUCUCACGGUUCGUGGGUUCAAGCCCCGUGUCAGGCU